AGCGAACGCUGGCGGCAGGCUUAACACAUGCAAGUCGAGCGGGCGUAGCAAUACGUCAGCGGCAGACGGGUGAGUAACGCGUGGGAACAUACCUUUUGGUUCGGAACAACACAGGGAAACUUGUGCUAAUACCGGAUAAGCCCUUACGGGGAAAGAUUUAUCGCCGAAAGAUUGGCCCGCGUCUGAUUAGCUAGUUGGUGAGGUAAUGGCUCACCAAGGCGACGAUCAGUAGCUGGUCUGAGAGGAUGAUCAGCCACAUUGGGACUGAGACACGGCCCAAACUCCUACGGGAGGCUG
rnacentral:rRNA from 1 species